AACGAACGCUGGCGGCAUGCCUAACACAUGCAAAUCGAACGAGACCUCCGGGUCUUGUGGCGCACGGGUUCGUAACGCGUGGGAACCUGCCCUUAGGUUCGGAAUAACUCUCCGAAAGGGGUGCUAAUACCGGAUAAUGUCUUCGGCCCAAAGAUUUAUCGCCUUUGGAUGGGCCCGCGUUGGAUUAGCUAGUUGGUAGGGUAAAAGCCUACCAAGGCGACGAUCAGUAGCUGGUCUGAGAGGAUGAUCAGCCACACUGGGACUGGGACACGGCCGAGACUCCUACGGGAGGCAGCAGUGGGGGAUAUUGGAAAAUGGGCGGAAGCCUGAUGCAGCAAUGCCGCGUAAGUGAUGAAGGCCUUAGGGUUGUAAAGCGCUUUUACCCGGGAUGAUAAUGACAGUACCGGGAGAAUAAGCUCCGGCUAACUCCGUG
rnacentral:rRNA from 1 species